rnacentral:rRNA from 1 species
UUGAACGCUGGCGGCAGGCCUAACACAUGCAAGUCGAGCGGUAGCACAGAGAGCUUGCUCUCGGGUGACGAGCGGCGGACGGGUGAGUAAUGUCUGGGAAACUGCCUGAUGGAGGGGGAUAACUACUGGAAACGGUAGCUAAUACCGCAUAAUGUCGCAAGACCAAAGUGGGGGACCUUCGGGCCUCAUGCCAUCAGAUGUGCCCAGAUGGGAUUAGCUAGUAGGUGGGGUAACGGCUCACCUAGGCGACGAUCCCUAGCUGGUCUGAGAGGAUGACCAGCCACACUGGAACUGAGACACGGUCCAGACUCCUACGGGAGGCAGCAGUGGGGAAUAUUGCACAAUGGGCGCAAGCCUGAUGCAGCCAUGCCGCGUGUGUGAAGAAGGCCUUCGGGUUGUAAAGCACUUUCAGCGGGGAGGAAGGCGGUGAGGUUAAUAACCUCAUCGAUUGACGUUACCCGCAGAAGAAGCACCGGCUAACUCCGUGCCAGCAGCCGCGGUAAUACGGAGGGUGCAAGCGUUAAUCGGAAUUACUGGGCGUAAAGCGCACGCAGGCGGUCUGUCAAGUCGGAUGUGAAAUCCCCGGGCUCAACCUGGGAACUGCAUUCGAAACUGGCAGGCUAGAGUCUUGUAGAGGGGGGUAGAAUUCCAGGUGUAGCGGUGAAAUGCGUAGAGAUCUGGAGGAAUACCGGUGGCGAAGGCGGCCCCCUGGACAAAGACUGACGCUCAGGUGCGAAAGCGUGGGGAGCAAACAGGAUUAGAUACCCUGGUAGUCCACGCCGUAAACGAUGUCGAUUUGGAGGUUGUGCCCUUGAGGCGUGGCUUCCGGAGCUAACGCGUUAAAUCGACCGCCUGGGGAGUACGGCCGCAAGGUUAAAACUCAAAUGAAUUGACGGGGGCCCGCACAAGCGGUGGAGCAUGUGGUUUAAUUCGAUGCAACGCGAAGAACCUUACCUGGUCUUGACAUCCACAGAACUUUCCAGAGAUGGAUUGGUGCCUUCGGGAACUGUGAGACAGGUGCUGCAUGGCUGUCGUCAGCUCGUGUUGUGAAAUGUUGGGUUAAGUCCCGCAACGAGCGCAACCCUUAUCCUUUGUUGCCAGCGGUUAGGCCGGGAACUCAAAGGAGACUGCCAGUGAUAAACUGGAGGAAGGUGGGGAUGACGUCAAGUCAUCAUGGCCCUUACGACCAGGGCUACACACGUGCUACAAUGGCAUAUACAAAGAGAAGCGACCUCGCGAGAGCAAGCGGACCUCAUAAAGUAUGUCGUAGUCCGGAUUGGAGUCUGCAACUCGACUCCAUAAAGUCGGAAUCGCUAGUAAUCGUGGAUCAGAAUGCCACGGUGAAUACGUUCCCGGGCCUUGUACACACCGCCCGUCACACCAUGGGAGUGGGUUGCAAAAGAAGUAGGUAGCUUAACCUUCGGGAGGGCGCUUACCACUUUGUGAUUCAUGACUGGGGUG